CAGUGGAUUGGUAGCUGAAAGCCAAGGGCGGUAGCCUG
rfam:Kluyvera intestini strain GT-16 tig00000000, whole genome shotgun sequence.